GCUUGGGUUAUUUGAAGCAGCUUUCUACUCAUCUUCCUGUUUCUAGUCUCUCACAUACCACCUGGUGUCAGAUCAAUCUUACUUAAAUUACACUUUUGUAAUGUUAAGUUCCUGUUAAAACCAAAACUAAACAAACGAAAACUUCAAUCAUCAUUCUUCUCUACUACUUUCAGAUGGUGGUGCCAGAGGGAUCAAAUAUAGAGACGAUAGUACCUAAGAUUAUACUUCACAAACUAGAUAGUGGGGUAAAUGUUAGUGAGAAGGUCUGCAAAUUAUUUGUAUAAAGACAUUCCAGUUUGCCUUUCUGUAAAACCACAUAAACUAGCUUACAUCAGCAGAACAGAAGGAACCACUUCUACAGUAACUCCUCUAAAUCCAUGAUAUCUCCUCUCCUGAGCCUCAGCAGAUUGCUCGGAUAUUACUUUCUGGAGAGCCUGAACCAGAUAGAUUAACUCUGCACUUGGGGACAUCAUAAUACCUUGUGGAUAGGAGUAACGUAAGUUUACUUACAGAGAGGUGAGAACUAUUCCUUCAACUUUCUCAUGUCCCAGAACUGUAGCACAUGCUUAAUCCUUUCCCAAUCUCAGCUCACAACUGAGAAGUUUCUUUCAGGUGGAAGUGACUGAAUACUGCAUAUUCUCCCUUAUAGGUGAGAGCUAAAUGAUGAAAACUCAUGGUUGUAAGGAAGGGAGAAAGAGACACUGGGGCCUACUUGAGGGUGAAGGGUGGGAGGAGGGAGAUGAUCAAAAAAAAUAACUAUUAGGUAGUAGGCUUAGCAUCUGGGGGAUGAAAUAAUCUAUACAACAAACACCUGUAGCACAAGUUUACCUAUAUAACAAACCUGCACAUGUACUCCUGAAUCUAAAAUAAAACUUUUUUGUUUUUUUUUGAGAUUGAGUUUUUCUCUUAUUGCCCAGGCUGGAGUGCAAUGGCACAAUCUUGGCUCACCGCAACCUUCACUUCCCAGGUUCAAGUGAUACUCCUGUCUCAGCCUCCCGAGUAGCUGGGAUUACAGGCAUGCGCCACCAUGCCUGGCUUAUUUUUUGUAUUUUUAGUAGAGAUGGGAUUUUUCCAUGUUGGUCAGGCUAAAAGUUUUUUUAAAAAAGAAAUGACUGGUUACAAGAGAAAAGACCACUGAACAAGAGACUACGUCUGUCCUAAUAGCUCCC
rnacentral:lncRNA from 1 species